rnacentral:rRNA from 1 species
GACGAACGCUGGCGGCGUGCUUAACACAUGCAAGUCGAACGGAAAGGCCCUGCUUUUGUGGGGUGCUCGAGUGGCGAACGGGUGAGUAACACGUGAGUAACCUGCCCUUGACUUUGGGAUAACUUCAGGAAACUGGGGCUAAUACCGGAUAGGAGCUCCUGCUGCAUGGUGGGGGUUGGAAAGUUUCGGCGGUUGGGGAUGGACUCGCGGCUUAUCAGCUUGUUGGUGGGGUAGGGGCAUACCAAGGCUUUGACGGGUAGCCGGCCUGAGAGGGUGACCGGCGACAUUGGGCCUGAGAUACGGACCAGACUCGUACGGGAGGCAGCAGGGGGGAGUCUUGCACAAUGGGCGGAAGUGUGAUGCGGCAACGCCGCGUGCGGGAUGACGGCCUUCGGGUUGAAAACCGCUUUAGCCUGUGACGAAGCGUGAGUGACGGUAAUGGGUGAAGAAGCACCGGCUAACUACGUG